AUUCCUUCUGCCUCCCCCUAACAUUUCUGGACCGAGGCGGAGAGAGCUCCCGGUAGAACCGACGCAACCAUCCCGGGAUGGUGACCAACGCGCGGCUGCUGCGGGCAGAGGGACUGAAGAGAACCGGUGGUCCCGACGCUGGCCCCGAGCCCGAGGAGUUAAACUAACAAAGAGCUCCCCGAGCCGCGAAACCCCCCAGAGCGGAAGCGACGCCUCCCCGCCGCCGCCGCCGC
rnacentral:lncRNA from 10 species